ACUCCUACGGGAGGCAGCAGUGGGGAAUAUUGCACAAUGGGGGAAACCCUGAUGCAGCCAUGCCGCGUGUGUGAAGAAGGCCUUCGGUUGUAAAGCACUUUCAGUAGGGAGGAAGGUAGUGUAGUUAACACCUGCAUUAUUUGACGUUACCUACAGAAGAAGCACCGGCUAACUCCGUGCCAGCAGCCGCGGUAAUACGGAGGGUGCGAGCGUUAAUCGGAAUUACUGGGCGUAAAGCGCAUGCAGGCGGCUUGUUAAGUCAGAUGUGAAAGCCCGGGGCUUAACCUCGGAAUUGCAUUUGAAACUGGCAGGCUAGAGUCUUGUAGAGGGGUUAGAAUUUCAGGUGUAGCGGUGAAAUGCGUAGAGAUCUGAAGGAAUACCAGUGGCGAAGGCGGCCCCUGGACAAAGACUGACGCUCAGAUGCGAAAGCGUGGGAGCAAACAGGAUUAGAUACCCCUGGUAGACUGUCA
rnacentral:rRNA from 1 species